UACGGAGGGGGCUAGCGUUGUUCGGAAUUACUGGGCGUAAAGGGCUCGUAGGCGGCCAACUAAGUCAGACGUGAAAUCCCCAGGCUCAACCUGGGAACUGCGUCUGAUACUGGAUGGCUUGAAUCCGGGAGAGGGAUGCAGAAUUCCAGGUGUAGCGGUGAAAUGCGUAGAUAUCUGGAGGAAUACCGGUGGCGAAGGCGGCAUCCUGGACCGGCAUUGACGCUGAGGAGCGAAAGCCAGGGGAGCAAAGCAGG
rnacentral:rRNA from 1 species